AUUGAACGCUGGCGGAAUGCUUUACACAUGCAAGUCGAACGGUAGAGGGGGCAACCCCUCGAGAGUGGCGAACGGGUGAGUAAUAUAUCGGAACGUGCCCAGUCGUGGGGGAUAACGUAGCGAAAGUUACGCUAAUACCGCAUACGAUCUACGGAUGAAAGCGGGGGAUCGCAAGACCUCGCGCGAUUGGAGCGGCCGAUAUCAGAUUAGGUAGUUGGUGGGGUAAAGGCUCACCAAGCCAACGAUCUGUAGCUGGUCUGAGAGGACGACCAGCCACACUGGAACUGAGACACGGUCCAGACUCCUACGGGAGGCAGCAGUGGGGAAUUUUGGGACAAUGGACGCAAGUCUGAUCCAGCCAUUCCGCGUGCAGGAUGAAGGCCCUCGGGUUGUAAACUGCUUUUGUACGGAACGAAAAGGUUUCUAUUAAUACUAGGAGCUCAUGACGGUACCGUAAGAAUAAGCACCGGCUAACUACGUG
rnacentral:rRNA from 1 species